rnacentral:tRNA from 1 species
GCCUUCGUGGUGUAAUAGUCAGCACGCUCGGCUCGUAAUCUAGAGGUCCAUGUUCGAGUCCCGGCAAGGGCA